AGAGCGAACGCUGGCGGCAGGCCUAACACAUGCAAGUCGAGCGCCGUAGCAAUACGGAGCGGCAGACGGGAGAGUAACACGUGGGAACGUACCUUUCAGUUCGGAACAACCCAGGGAAACUUGGGCUAAUACCGGAUACGCCCUUACGGGGAAAGAUUUAUCGCCGAAAGAUCGGCCCGCGUCUGAUUAGCUAGUUGGUGGGGUAACGGCCCACCAAGGCUACGAUCAGUAGCUGGUCUGAGAGGAUGAUCAGCCUCACUGGGACUGAGACACGGCCCAGACUCCUACGGGAGGCAGCAGUGGGGAAUAUUGGACAAUGGGCGCAAGCCUGAUCCAGCCAUGCCGCGUGGAUGAUGAAGGCCCUAGGGUUGUAAAGUCCUUUCGGCGGGGAAGAUAAUGACGGUACCCGCAGAAGAGCCCCGGCUAACUUCGCGCCAGCAGCCGC
rnacentral:rRNA from 1 species